AGUAGUUUGAUCAGUGCUCGAGGACACGCUGGCGGCGUGCUUCAUACAUGCAAGUCGAACGAGAAAUUACCUUCGGGUAAUGGAAAGUGGCGGACGGGUGAGUAAUGUGUAGAGAAUCUGCCCUGAAGAGGGGGACAACAGAGGGAAACUUCUGCUAAUACCCCAUAUGCGCGUAGUUGCAAUACUAUUCGUGAAAGAUUUAUCGCUUCAGGAUGAGUCUGCAUCUGAUUAGCUAGUUGGAGGUGUAAUGGACCACCAAGGCGACGAUCAGUAGCUGGUUUGAGAGGAUGAUCAGCCACAAUGGGACUGAGACACGGCCCAUACUCC
rnacentral:rRNA from 1 species